GAACUGGGCCAUGCACUGUUUUUAUGUAUUACAAAGAAGAGACGCUGUGGCUUAGGUUUUUUUCUGAUGGUCGAGUAAGAUGUUUAUGCAAAGUGUCAAUGGAAACAAUUAUCUUAACAGGAUGACACAGUUGAUUUUCCUUAGAAAUGUCCUGAUUUCCUGUUUAGGUUAUCCAGAGGUCAGGUAGGGAUUUUUCUUUGCACUCCCAUAGCGCAGAUUCACAUUAUACGAGGAUUGUAGGACUUAGGUCACAAUCCAUUUAAUUCCAGUGGCUGCAUUUAUCUUCCCAAGGAAUGUGUUUCCUUUGUUUUUAUUUAGUUUCCUUUUUUGUGUUCUAUUGCUGUAACCUGUAGUAAGGAUGUGUUACCAAUAGCUAUUUGCCAGUAGUUGCUUCUUAAUUAAACUGCAUCUUAAAAGUUCAUCUUUUGCCUGUUUUGAAGUUCACAUGGAUACCUGCGGGAGUCAGAAUGUUGCAGUGUUAUCACUGUUACCUUGUCUUAGAAAUCUCUUCACUAACUGAGCACUCAGGCAAGCAUCAAGCCCCAAAGUAGGCCUUGCCUGCAUGCUGUGAAUUCCUGCCUUAGUGAAUCAGCUUCAGUGUGGUUUGAUUUUGAUAACUGCCCUCCUCCCCGUAUUUAAUUAUGCCUUGAGGUUGUGGAAAGACAUUUAUCUGUUGAAACAGUCUAAGUAGCAAGUGUUCUGACAUGUUUAUUGAGCAAAUUAUUAUACCUGACAAAAGGUAAUUACAUAUACAAUCAGGUUUGGAAGUAAAUGAAUAAUUAGGGGUUAAAAAAUAAGUGCCUUUUAGAUUCAAGAAAAAUAAACUAAAUACAUAUUUUUAAUUGAGUGAAUAUAGUAAAACCUAUUAUAUGAUUUGAAAGAAAGAACUGACUAAGGAUGCAAGCCCCCUUAAAUGCAAGUACUCACUACUAUGUUAUAAUAUUCUUUCUCUUUGAUCUGAGUUUCUUUUUAAAGAGGGAAUGACAAGAUGUCUCUGGUGUCUAAAGUAUUUAGUUUUAAUUUUAGUUGAGCUUUUUUU
rnacentral:lncRNA from 1 species